rnacentral:rRNA from 1 species
AGAACGAACGCUGGCGGCAGGCUUAACACAUGCAAGUCGAACGAAUGUAGCAAUACAUUAGUGGCGCACGGGUGAGUAACGCGUGGAUAUCUGCCUUUUGGUUCGGGAUAACCUUGGGAAACUAGGGCUAAUACCGAAUGGUUCCUACGGGAUAAAGAUUUAUCGCCAAAAGAUGAGUCCGCGUCCGAUUAGCUAGUUGGUGAGGUAAUGGCUCACCAAGGCGACGAUCGGUAGCUGGUCUGAGAGGACGAUCAGCCACACUGGGACUGAGACACGGCCCAGACUCCUACGGGAGGCAGCAGUGGGGAAUAUUGGACAAUGGGGGCAACCCUGAUCCAGCCAUGCCGCGUGAGUGAUGAAGGCCUUCGGGUUGUAAAGCUCUUUUGGCGGGGACGAUGAUGACGGUACCCGCAGAAUAAGCCCGGCUAACUUCGUGCCAGCAGCCGC